rnacentral:rRNA from 1 species
GACGAACGCUGGCGGCGUGCUUAACACAUGCAAGUCGAACGAAGUGGCGAACGGGUGAGUAACGCGUUAUCAACCUGCCCUUCAGAGGGGGACAACAGGUUGAAACUACUGAUAAUACCGCAUUUUGAAGGUGGGGCUUGCGUCGGAUUAGCUAGUUGGAGGGGUAACGGCCCACCAAGGCGAAGAUCGAUAGGCGGGCUGAGAGGAUGAACGGGCACAAUGGGACUGGGACACGGCCCAGACUCCCACGGGAGGCAGCAGUGGGGGAUCUGUCGGAAUGGAAGGAAGUCUGACGGGGCAAAGGCGCGGGAGGGAUGACGGCCUUCGGGUUGUAAAGCUCUGUUAGUCGGGACGCGGUACCGAAAUAGAAAGCCACGGCUAACUACGUGCCAGCAGCCGCGGUAAUUC